GAUAAUAUUAUCCUGAAAAAGCAUUUGUAGCCACAUAAAAAUAUUCUAAAAAAUCUAAAAGAAUUUUACCAUUAGUCCAAUCUUGGGUAGUUAGCAUUUCAUCAUCUUCUUCACCACAAUCCCGAGAUUAUACGUAGCGUUAAUUGGGUUUUUAUAUUCAUACGCUACUACUAAACUUUCGUACAUGUAAUUCCACCUAGUC
rnacentral:lncRNA from 1 species